rnacentral:rRNA from 1 species
AGUGAACGCUGGCGGUAGGCCUAACACAUGCAAGUCGAACGGCAGCACAGUAAGAGCUUGCUCUUACGGGUGGCGAGUGGCGGACGGGUGAGGAAUACAUCGGAAUCUACUUUUUCGUGGGGGAUAACGUAGGGAAACUUACGCUAAUACCGCAUACGACCUACGGGUGAAAGCAGGGGAUCUUCGGACCUUGCGCGAUUGAAUGAGCCGAUGUCGGAUUAGCUAGUUGGCGGGGUAAAGGCCCACCAAGGCGACGAUCCGUAGCUGGUCUGAGAGGAUGAUCAGCCAAACUGGAACUGGGACACGGUCCAGACUCCUAAGGGAGGCAGCAGUGGGGAAUAUUGGACAAUGGGCGCAAGCCUUAUCCAGCCAUACCGCGUUGGUGAAGAAGGCCUUCGGGUUGGAAAGCCCUUUUGUUGGGAAAGAAAAGCAGCAGGUUAAUACCCCGCUGUUCUGACGGUACCCAAAGAAUAAGCACCGGCUAACUUCGUG